ACUCACUCACACACUCUCUCUCUCUCUCUCUCUCUCUCUCUUUUCCUCUCUCUCUCCUUCCAUAUCUCCCUCUCUACCGCUAGCUUGCUUUCCAUCUCAGUUCAAUCCAGGGACUGACUGCUGCGAGCGAACAUGUGGAUGGGAGAUAGGCAGAGAACGGAGGGAUGGGAAAGGGAUGGAUGAAAGAGUGGAGGAAGUGAGAGGAGCUGCUUCGGGGGGAGAGGCGCUGCUCCUAUAGAACCGGCCAGGACAUCAACAACUGUUCCACCUGCUUGAAAACAGCCUGCAUCAUAUACAGCGUGGAGCAUGACUUCCGUCAGCAGGAGGGCCGGUUCCAUGGCGUGCU